UCGCAUGAUGUGGAAUCCGGGAACUGACUGUGAUGAAAUGCGCGAGCACUGAGU
rnacentral:ncRNA from 16 species